AUCAAGUUUUUGACUAGCUCAUGGAUUGGGUAAAAAAAUUUAUGUCUGUCUCUCAGCUAUAAAAUAAAACCAAAAUUACCAUGCAUUGGAAAAUAUGAAGAAAAAUGUGUACAAUACAUUCUGUACCAAAAUAGACCAUCGGUGAUUGAGGAAGGACUCUAUCAUUGAUCAGCAGGAACGUGAUUGCUUUAACACACUCAGUGAGUUUGAAUGUGAGUGAGCCUUUAGAAUUUAGGAAACUUGAUUUUUGUCACCAUAAUCUUGUGUGUUUAAUUAUUAUGGAGUACAGUAACACA